UGCAGUCGAGCGGUAACAGAUCCAGCUUGCUGGAUGCUGACGAGCGGCGGACGGGUGAGUAACGCGUGGGAAUCUGCCUGGUAGUGGGGGACAACAGUCGGAAACGACUGCUAAUACCGCAUACGCCCUUCGGGGGAAAGUGGGGGAUCUUCGGACCUCACGCUAUCAGAUGAGCCCGCGUCGGAUUAGCUGGUUGGUGGGGUAAAGGCCUACCAAGGCGAUGAUCCGUAGCUGGUCUGAGAGGAUGAUCAGCCACACUGGGACUGAGACACGGCCCAGACUCCUACGGGAGGCAGCAGUGGGGAAUAUUGGACAAUGGGGGCAACCCUGAUCCAGCCAUGCCGCGUGUGUGAAGAAGGCCUUCGGGUUGUAAAGCACUUUCAGCAGUGAGGAAAGGUGUGUGGUUAAUACCCGCAUACUGUGACGUUAACUGCAGAAGAAGGACCGGCUAACUCCGUGCCAGCAGCCGCGGUAAUACGGAGGGUCCGAGCGUUAAUCGGAAUUACUGGGCGUAAAGCGCGCGUAGGUGGUUCAGUCAGUCAGAUGUGAAAGCCCCGGGCUUAACCUGGGAAUUGCACCUGAUACUGCUGAGCUAGAGUACGGUAGAGGGCAGUGGAAUUUCCGGUGUAGCGGUGAAAUGCGUAGAGAUCGGAAGGAACACCAGUGGCGAAGGCGACUGCCUGGACCGAUACUGACACUGAGGUGCGAAAGCGUGGGUAGCAAACAGGAUUAGAUACCCUGGUAGUCCACGCCGUAAACGAUGUCAACUAGCCGUUGGGG
rnacentral:rRNA from 1 species